UUCACCUUGUUUUUGGUGUUUGUGGGUAUAUUUUGAGCGGACCCUCACAGAUGUGCCCUCCAUACAUUUGGAUCCUUAUAACUUUCAGGAAAAAUACAUAUCUUUUAAAGAAAUAUUCUACAAAUACCUCUCAGAUGGCAUACAUUACGACUAUAUCGGAAUUUAAUGUGAAGAGAAUAGAGGUCGCGCACACAUAUAUACUGAAACACAUCCCGAUUUUUUCAAAAUUUUGAGUUCCAUUUUGUGGAUAUAUACGAUAUGUAUGUUAGUAUAUAUGGAAUUUUGAACUCAGAUUGUAAAGGUUUACGAAAUGCCGCCGGCGUGCUAACCAAUCUGCCGCUCACCGCCUUAUGAAUACGAAUAAUGGAUAUUCAACAUAUAGUCCACGGGCAGAUGUAGAGAGUAGGGU